GAUGGGCGUAUCACAGUGAUAUAAACAGCAGAGGGACCUGUACAAAAAUCCAAAGUAGGAAAAAAGAUGAGAUUUUUUGGGAAGGAAAGGAGAGGGGUGACUGUGAUGUGUAAGAAGAGAAGUACAACAUUUGUUUUAUGUUUCCUUUUAUCCUGGAUACAUAAAAUAGAUCCAGGGGAAUUUAAAAGAGGAAAGAAAGGGAGAUUUUGAAAAUUCUGUACUCAAUCAAGAUAACUGAAAUAAUCAAACUUUCCAAGUGAUUUUUUUUCCCUUUCCAAUCUACAAAGAAAAUCUACCUCUGGAUCAUCUUAUGGACUUGCACUUAAGAUAAUUAGGCCAACUAUCCAGCUUUCCAUCUCUAGAUUUACAACACUUUUGAACACCAUGAGGAAAGAGUGAGUUAUUGGAGGAAGUCUUAGCAGUGUGAGGCCAACAAAAGGACCAGGGACGAUUCUCAGAGUUGUACCAAAGGUCAUUGUGGAGAAAUCAACUAAAUCAGAAGAUGUUGGCACCACUGGGAAAACAACACCUUUGCCAACGAUUUUCCAUACAACGAACAUCAGCUUGGAGAUGACCUCUAAAGAACCAAACACAUCCACUUCGACAGCAGAGGUGAUCUGCACGGACAAGUUCGACAGCAGCAUGAUAACAAUACUGCCAGAUCCUGAAGAGCAGAGAGUGAACAUGCUGUCCAUGGCUGUGUUGGGUUUGCGAGUCCUGCUGGCAAAGAGCAUCGCCUUCAAUGCCCUCAUGAGUAUCAAGUUGUUUCUUUUCUGAGUCAUGGAAAAUGAAGGCAAGAGGAACCCGAAGAAGAGCAGGAAAGAACGUGAACCAGCAGCACAAGGGGGUUGAACAAGCAGGGGCAGAGCAGCUGACAGAGACCAGCCAGGACACAAGGCAGCACCUUCCCCUCAAGACAUUGAAUCCUCUUCACUCCUGCCUGGCCAGCUGAUUUACACUGAAGAGUUUUAAGUGCUUUUGCUGUUUCCCCUCCUCUGAGAACAGAGGAGGGUGAAUUUAUCCUCAUCCUCCUGCUUAGCAGAUCUCCCCACUCUUCUGGCAUUUGUACACAAGUGUCCAACCUGCAUCAAUAGUUUUGAAAACUCCAGUGCUGACUCUAGACCUGUGGCCUUUCAAAAGCACCUUUGCCAGGCAUGUUGUGUUACUGCCUCUAGAACUGGAGUAUUACUGCUGAGAGAAUUCAAGCCCUGGAGCUGCCAUUUCUGGCUCUGGGUUUUAGACAGAUUUAAUAACAUCAAGUGUGUAUUGCAGAUGGGAAGAACUGUGUAGGAUUUGAAGUGAUUUAAUUCAAGCAGAAAAUGUUCAUUUCUUUAUGAAGCCUCUAUUUCUUCUGCCAAAUGUAUCUCAUGUGCAUUUUAGGUUCCUGUAGUAGUGAUGAAAAUAAAGUUGUGCCAGGCCAAAA